UCCGGCUUGUCGCCGGCGGUCCCUCUAGAGUGCCCAACUGAAUGAUGGCAACUAAAGGCGAGGGUUGCGCUCGUUGCGGGACUUAACCCAACAUCUCACGACACGAGCUGACGACAGCCAUGCAGCACCUGUGUUCCGAUUCCCUUUCGGGCACCCCCACCUCUCAGCAGGGUUCCGGACAUGUCAAGGGUAGGUAAGGUUCUUCGCGUUGCGUCGAAUUAAACCACAUGCUCCGCUGCUUGUGCGGGUCCCCGUCAAUUCCUUUGAGUUUUAGUCUUGCGACCGUACUUCCCAGGCGUAGUACUUAAUGCGUUAGCUGCGGCACUGCAGGGGUCAAUACCCGCAACACCCAGUACUCAUCGUUUACGGCGUGGACUAC
rnacentral:misc_RNA from 1 species